UACGAAGGGUGCAAGCGUUACUCGGAAUUACUGGGCGUAAAGCGUGCGUAGGUGGUUUGUUAAGUCUGCUGUGAAAGCCCCGGGCUCAACCUGGGAAUGGCAGUGGAUACUGGCAAGCUAGAGUGCGGUAGAGGGGUGUGGAAUUCCCGGUGUAGCGGUGAAAUGCGUAGAGAUCGGGAGGAACACCGGUGGCGAAGGCGGCACCCUGGACCAGCACUGACACUGAGGCACGAAAGCGUGGGGAGCAAACAGG
rnacentral:rRNA from 1 species